ACAUCCUUAGCUCAGCAUGGUAGAGUAUUUCAUACUAAAAUUCGAAAAGGUCGGAAGUUCAAUUCUUUCAGGAUGUG